CCUGUUGUGUCUUCUGUUUCAGGUGGAGUGGCUAUGAAGAAGGGAGUGACUUCCUUGUCUGCACAAAGAUUCUCACCAAGCCAUCCAAGCCACUCUCUCCAUGUGCAGUUCCACCCCUGUGUGUGCCAUCCUCAAACUGUGUCACUGUUUAUGUGGGUUUCCAGCCCCAAGUUCCUGAUGAUGGCACAGAGACAGCACCCCAGCUCUGUGGAGUUCCUGCUGAUGAGAAUGGCCUGAUGGUUAUCCAAACCAUCUGCUUGAUGACAAUGGGGAUAAUUUUUUUCCUAAUGAGUCCCAGUGAUUCAGUCUGAAAGAAGUUGCCACCAUGUCCUUGUCUGUUUGGGGUGGGAUUCUGUGUUGCACUGGAGAUCUUUACAAUGCUCUGUGAACAUUCUUUAUAUUCUUCAGGGCUCACCUCAGAAAUGAACCCUGUGUGUCUAAAAAUUGGAGAGAGCCCGUUUUUCAUUUCCUGUCUCCAUGCCAAUCCAAAAAAAUUCCCAAAUAACUACUUGUUGAGUACCCCUAAUAAUUUUAUUUUCUCAGCACUUGCAUAAUAGUGUAAAAUAUCAGAUGUGAAGCUUCUUUCUGCCGUUUCUCUUCCUUAUUUUCUCCCCCAUUUUGUACAUGCUGUGAUCCUACCACAUGGAUCAUUAAUGUGUUGCUGCAGUGAAGAACAUGGAAAUAACAUGAAAGGUGUUUAUAGGCUUUGUUCUGAUUUCCUGACAGGUUGUCCUGAAUCGGGAUGAUAAUGAAGGAUGCUCUGGAUGAAUGAUAUAGGGGGAUGUUUUGCUGCUCUUGAAGCCAAGGGAAAUAGUUCCAUUGACCUUUGUGUGCUAGAAUUUCACUCUAAGGAUUGAAUUGAAACUGAAUCUGGGUGUAGAGACUUAGGAAAUGGCUUUUUGGGAUUAUAUCCGAGUGCCAAGAGUUUCUCCUCAGUGCUAAUAGGUAGGGAAAAGAUGCUCGUCAUGCCACAGCGUUUUCCAGUGCACUGUCUCCAGUUUCCAGUGCUUUGUCCUCUAGAAUCUGUAUGGCUAUGUAUCCUAUCAUUCAUUAAAUAAUUAUAUAUGUUUAUGUCUCCUACAGUAAUGUUCUUCAUAUGUAUGUACAUCUACCUUAGCAAAUGCUGAAGCUUUUCAGCCCUUAAAGGUAUUUUUCUGCCUGGUGAGUUGAAUUGUUGGAAGUAGGAGUUGCUGAUGCUCCACUUAAAAUAUAUUUUAACUUGUAUAAAGAAGAUUAUCUAAAAUAUACUGCUGGAGAUGAGAAGAAAUCCUUUGUGAAGUAAUUUUGAGCUAGUAAUUGAUGGAAAGCCAGCUUCAAUGGCUCUCCUUUUGUAUUUUAGAGUUCAAAAAGAGAUUGUGUCAUCUCUUUAGCAGGUGUUGCAGGCAACUAAAUACUUUGUUUAAAUAUUUUGUGUAGUUAAGCAAACAAAUUUUGAACAGAUAGCUUCCAUUAACCAACUGAUUAGAAUAUCAAACAUGCACCCUGUUUCCAAGAGUCCCAAAUAUACAUAACCUAAAUUUUGAAUUGAAAUUUUGAAUAUGUGAGUUUUCUUUUAACUACGAUGAACUUGGAAGAUUUGGUGCUGGGCUGGUGAUCUGACCAUGAAAGAGGUGGGGCUUUUUGUGCUAAUACUAAAAUUAAAAUUAGAAGAUGCCCUGCUCUUUUACUUUGUUACAUUUGGUCAUUUCUGCUUUAUUGCAUCUAUGCACAUAGCAGUUGUGGUAUUCCAAGGCAUCCCCAGGCAUAUUUUAUUCUGGGAAGAUAAAAAUUAAGCUCUUGGCCACUGAUUAAGACUUUACAGUUGAGAUGUAUCAUUCCUGGCAUUGGCAGGUUGAAGAAAUUUGGAAAGAAAAGAGUAGGGGAGGAUGCUUAAUACAUGAAUAUAAAGUAUAAGGAAAAUGUACUGACAACAUUAGCAAAUAAAUCAAGCACAGAUGUAGGAGUUUCUAAAUCU
ensembl:lncRNA